UACGUAGGGGGCAAGCGUUGUCCGGAUUUAUUGGGCGUAAAGAGCGUGUAGGCGGCCAGAUAGGUCCGUUGUGAAAACUCGAGGCUCAACCUCGAGACGCCGAUGGAAACCAUUUGGCUAGAGUCCGGAAGAGGAGAGUGGAAUUCCUGGUGUAGCGGUGAAAUGCGCAGAUAUCAGGAAGAACACCCGUGGCUAAGGCGGCUCUCUGGGCCUUACCUGACGCUGAGACGCGAAAGCGUGGGGAGCGAACCGG
rnacentral:rRNA from 1 species